rnacentral:rRNA from 1 species
CGUGUAGGCGGUUAGGCAAGUCAGGUGUGAAAUCCCUUGGCUCAACCAAGGAAGUGCGCUUGAAACUGCUUAACUAGAGUACAGGAGGGGAAAGUGGAAUUCCCAGUGUAGAGGUGAAAUUCAUAGAUAUUGGGAGGAACACUGGUAGCGAAGGCGGCUUUCUGGCCUGAUACUGACGCUGAGACGCGAAAGCGUGGGGAGCAAACA